rnacentral:rRNA from 1 species
CCUACGGGAGGCUGCAGUGAGGAAUAUUGGUCAAUGGGCGCGAGCCUGAACCAGCCAAGUAGCGUGAAGGAUGACUGCCCUACGGGUUGUAAACUUCUUUUAUAAAGGAAUAAAGUGAGGCAUGUGCGCCUUUUUGUAUGCACUUUAUGAAUAAGGAUCGGCUAACUCCGUGCCAGCAGCCGCGGUAAUACGGAGGAUCCGAGCGUUAUCCGGAUUUAUUGGGUUUAAAGGGAGCGUAGAUGGGUUGUUAAGUCAGUUGCGAAAGUUUGCGGCUCAACCGUAAAAUUGCAAUUGAUACUGGCAGCCGUGAGUACAGUUGAGGUAGGCGGAAUUCGUGGUGUAGCGGUGAAAUGCUUAGAUAUAACGAAGAACUCCGAUUGCGAAGGCAGCUUACUAGACUGCCACUGACGUUGAUGCUCGAAAGUGUGGGUAUCAAACAGGAUUAGAUACCCCGGUAGUC